AUUGAACGCUGGCGGCGUGCUUAACACAUGCAAGUCGAUCGGUAACGCGGGGGCAACCCUGGCGACGAGAGGCGGACGGGUGAGGAACGCUUGGGAAUCUGCCUAUCAGCGGGGGACAACCCGGGGAAACUCGGGCUAAUACCGCAUACGCUCUACGGAGGAAAGCCGGGGACCGCAAGGCCUGGCACUGAUAGAUGAGCCCAAGUCGGAUUAGCUAGUUGGCGGGGUAACGGCCCACCAAGGCGACGAUCCGUAGCUGGUCUGAGAGGACGAUCAGCCACACCGGAACUGAGACACGGUCCGGACUCCUACGGGAGGCAGCAGUGGGGAAUAUUGGACAAUGGGCGAAAGCCUGAUCCAGCGACGCCGCGUGGGUGAAGAAGGCCUGCGGGUUGUAAAGCCCUUUCGGUAGGGACGAAAGCUCUUGCCCCAAUACGGCAGGAGGUUGACUUAACCUACAUAAGAAGCACCGGCUAACUCUGUG
rnacentral:rRNA from 1 species